CCAGACUCCUACGGGAGGCAGCAGUGAGGGAUAUUGGGCAAUGGGGGAAACCCUGACCCAGCGACGCCGCGUGAGGGAAGACGGUCUUCGGAUUGUAAACCUCUGUCUUUGGGGACGAAAAAGGACGGUACCCAAGGAGGAAGCUCCGGCUAACUACGUGCCAGCAGCCGCGGUAAUACGUAGGAUCCGAGCAUUAUCCGGAGUGACUGGGUGUAAAGAGUUGCGUAGGUGGCAUAAUAAGUAGCUAGUGAAAUCUGGUGGCUCAACCAUUCAGACUAUUAGCUAAACUGUUAAGCUCGAGACCGUUAGGGGUAACUGGAAUUUCUAGUGUAGGAGUGAAAUCCGUAGAUAUUAGAAAGAACACCAAUAGCGUAGGCAGGUUACUGGGACGGUUCUGACACUAAGGCACGAAAGCGUAGGGAGCAAACGGGAUUAGAUACCCGGGUAU
rnacentral:rRNA from 1 species